CCCCCAUAUCAGUCCGCUGCUCCGGCACAGGGCCCCCUAUAUCUCUCCAUCUCGUCUCUCUCUACAUAUUAAUUUCGUCUCUUAGACGCCGUACAGUACUAACGGCUCCAGACGACUCUCUAACAGCCUACUGCACAUCACCAGCUCCAGACAGCGCCCCCGGUGGGCCUUUAGGGUACUGCAUCAGGAGAGGCGGACACCGAAAAGCACGUCGUUUCACGCGCUACUAGUGAACGCCGCGCGAGGGUCCAAAAGGCAGCAUCGCUCCAUCCAGAGUAUCGAGGGGGGAAAUAACGGACAGCUCGAUCUCCCCACGAUCCGACCGGGCGUGACGGCAUCACCUCAUCGGCGAGCAGCAGCGCGCGCCAGGAGCCCGCAGCAGCUCGAGGAGAAGAGAGGCGCGAGCGUUCUGUGGAAGACCCCCGCGGUGUGGACAGCGAACGGGACCUUCUACUGAUAUGGCUGAGGUGUCACAAGAGGAGAGAAUCCAGGCCAUCUCUGAGAAGAGGAAGAAGCAGACAGAGAUUGAAAACAAGAGGAGGCAGCUCGAUGACGACCGACGGCAGCUCCAACAUCUCAAG
ensembl:lncRNA